GAAAAUUGUUCUCGUCCACAUUUCUGUAUGGGGAACUUUGUAGCUGAAGGAAGGUUUUUGUCUAAAUGGGAAUCUUCCAGAGACCAGUGUCUUCUCCUGAAACGGAGAAGAUAGGACUGGACACGAUCUCUCUCUACAACUGCACAAUGGAUGUUUUGUUUAGGAGGUCUCGCAGAACACCUUUUCUACAGCUCCACUCAUCAAGGGUCACAAAACAUUUCUCAGUAUCAGAUAACAAACUUAAGAGCUGCAGUAAAAGACCAAACCUCACAAGGACAGUACUAGAGAGGAAUGUAACAGGAGAUGACACCAGUACCACUGCAACAAGACAUUUGCCAAAAAAGUCUCCCAGAAGAUUCUGAGAAAUUGGUGGUGGCAGGGGGAAGACAAAACAGUCCCCGCCAAUUUCACCUGAGGGAAAAGAUUUCUUUGUGACCCGAAUUUGGCAAUCGACUCAACCCUGCAAGCAAGAUACACCACAAACCACCUGACAAUUUAAUGUCACCAGUGUCCUUUCUACAUCCUGUCUGUGACUAAUUUCCAGUGCUUCAGAGGCAGUUGCAAAAACCCUCAGAAGCCAAAUGCAGGUGAGGAAGAGGGCCAGAAGAAGCCCUCAAGCUUGGGAAUGGUAGAAGUACAAUGCAAAGAGUUAGCGUUUCAGUCUCCCUUCAAAAUCCCUUGGAUAUACCAAAAUAUCCUGGUCUGAUUUAAAAUUAUUUAGGUUGCUUCUGCCUGUCUGUUCCCUCCUGGAAUGGUUAGAAAGCUUUUCAGUCGAAAGCAACUCAUGACCAAUUUAUAACCGUAUGUCCUCGUGAUAGUACGAUUCUUUAAUUUAAAUAGUUCUUCUUCCUUGUUAUUGACCCUUCCAAUGUAUUUAUAAUGAAUCAUCGCUCCUUUUUGCAGCCCUCAUUUUGCAGCUAAGCAAGCCAAGGACUUUUAAGCUCCUCUUUGAGAAGGCAGACACGCCAUUCCCCUAUCAUCCCCGUAUUUCUCUUCUGCACCUGUUCCAACCUGAGUCAAUCUUUUCUGAUCCUAAGUCACCAGAAUUGUACAUAAUUUUCCAGAUGAGGGUCCUUAGCAUUGCUGUGUAAAGCUGUACUAAUACUUUCCUAUCUACUAAAAAUACCCCACUUAGUGCAUCACAGUCUCAUAUAAGCCUUCUCCACAGCUAUUCCCUCUGGCAGCUCACAGUCGUUUUCUCAUCAAGGAAUAUACUCUCUUAGACGGUAGUAAGGUCAGAUGAGUAGGCCUAAGAUUACUGGUAUCAUUACCCUUCUCCUUUCACCAAGAGUGUUUUAGAUGUCAGGUACUACCACUAACCUUGAACAAACCCUUGCUUCUGCAAUUAUAAUUUAAUUUGCCAGUUUCUUUCAAUAUUUCUGGGUAAAGAUCAUCCUUGAAUUCCUCUGUCCUAAAAAACUCAUCAGUUUCCUUAGUUUCUCUAAGUUGCUAUUUUGUGCGCCCAAGGUUCAGACAAAGAUCUACUCUUAUCCGCCUUACAAUUUAACAGAAGUAGAAUCAGUUCAUGAUCACGCAGUUCAAAAUUAUUCUCCAUACUAUGGUCUUCUACAUGGUUCUAGCUGCUUAUUAAUACUAGGCCUAAAAUAGCAUCGUCUUUCAUGGUCUAAGUCCCUGUCUGCUUGAGAAAUCUACUUUCUAUCAUGUUCAAGAACAUCUAAGCCCUACCAUUUACCAGUGGUAUUUUCCGGUCUGUGUCUGAGAAAUUAUAGUUUCCCAUAAUCACAUGCUAUUUACUAUUGCAUAUUUUCUCCACAGUCUUUAGAGAUAACUAUCCCUACCCAAGUUAGUAACGGCUGACCACCUUUAUACCAGUGGAGCCUUUUUUAUUAUUAUUCUCUCUCAUAAUUUUCUAAAGUAACGUCAUCUUAUUUUAUUUCUUUGAAACAUUUUACUAAAUUACACUGUCACUGCAUGGUCUUUACCCUUACUUCUAUCGUUCUAUAUAGCCACUCCUCCAAUGACUAUAUUCUAAAUAUUACUCCUAAGCAGCAGUGUGCAGUAUUAUGUAACAGUAAUGUGUAGUACUGCAUUGAUAGACAACGUUUCUGGCCCAGCAAAUUAUGAGAUUUAUUGAAAGCACUACUUUCUUAUAACAUGCACUUCCAAACUACUUACACAUUGGUCACAUAUCUCACUGUUGUAAUUGUCUCAGAAUUCAUUAAAAAGUUUUAGUCAUGAUAUAUAGCAAACGAAAAAAGAACAAUUAAAGCACUUGGCAUUUCAUUAGAUCAACACUUUUUUCCUUUGGCUAUAAACAUUUAUAAAUGUGGAAAAGCCUCUGUUUGGCAUCUUUUAGAUAGUAUUAAGAGUUUGUUUUAACACUCUUUUGGGGAAGAAUAUAUUAGUAUAGUUGCUGGAGGUACAGACACUGGAAUCCAGUUAUGGUGGGGUGUUUUUUAGGGAAAAACAAGAGGACACGUAUACCCCAGCAGAAAGUGGCAAAGAAGGAAAUUGCAGGUUUGUCUCUGAUGCAAACUUAUUUGCAGACUCGCUGCUGGAGAAAUGCAGGUUGAGUACACAGUUUUAUCAGCCGUUCCAAAGCUAAGCAAUCUCAAACAAGUGAUGGGAACAUUUAGGACAUUGGUCUUUGAUUCUCUUUCUGAUCACAGGUUCACCGUGUCCUUUCAAAAGGUGCAGCUGUCAGACAGCAGCAAAAGGAGGGAGAGAGGAAGGGGGAGAGAGAGAGAGAGAGGGGAGCCGGAGAGGGAAUGACAGAGGGGAGAAAGAGGGAGGGACAGGGAGAUAGAAAGGAAAGCAGAGAAAUGGGAUGAAGAAGAAAAACAGCACGCAAGGAGGGAGUUAAGAGUAUGAGCCAAGCUUCACGUUUUAGGGGCUGCUGAGGACAUAGCCAGAAGCAGGGAUGCUUAGUUCUCCUGGGUGGGUUGGCGUGGGGGUUACACAGAGGAAGAUCUAGCAGGGUCAGGAUGGAUUUCAGGACUCUGGGAGAUGCUGUAAGUGGUAACUAUGACGUAAAGCUUGUCCGUUAAGGAUCGCACAUCCAACUGUUCCUCCCUAGUCAUCCCUCAAUAAACAAUGUCCAAAAAGGAUGGUGACCUCA
rnacentral:lncRNA from 1 species